GUGGCAUAGUGGUUAGAGCAUCCGCCUCGGAUGCGGGAGGUCGUGGGUUCUAUCCCCGUUCUAGUCA